UGGGGAAUUUUGGACAAUGGGGGCAACCCUGAUCCAGCCAUGCCGCGUGAGUGAAGAAGGCCUUCGGGUUGUAAAGCUCUUUCGGCCGGGAAGAAAUCGCAUGGGUUAAUACCCUGUGCGGAUGACGGUACCGGCAUAAGAAGCACCGGCUAACUACGUGCCAGCAGCCGCGGUAAUACGUAGGGUGCGAGCGUUAAUCGGAAUUACUGGGCGUAAAGCGUGCGCAGGCGGUUUUGUAAGACAGGCGUGAAAUCCCCGGGCUCAACCUGGGAACUGCGCUUGUGACUGCAAGGCUAGAGUAUGGCAGAGGGGGGUGGAAUUCCACGUGUAGCAGUGAAAUGCGUAGAGAUGUGGAGGAACACCAAUGGCGAAGGCAGCCCCCUGGGCCAAUACUGACGCUCAUGCACGAAAGCGUGGGUAGCAAACAGG
rnacentral:rRNA from 1 species